UACGGAGGGAGCAAGCGUUAAUCGGAAUUACUGGGCGUAAAGCGCACGUAGGCGGUUUUUUAAGUCAGAUGUGAAAGCCCCGGGCUCAACCUGGGAAUUGCAUUUGAAACUGGGGAACUAGAGUGUGUGAGAGGGGGGUAGAAUUCCAAGUGUAGCGGUGAAAAUGCGUAGAGAUUUGGAGGAAUACCAGUGGCGAAAGGCGGCCCCCUGGCACAACACUGACGCUCAGGUGCGAAAGCGUGGGGAGCAAAACAGG
rnacentral:rRNA from 1 species